GGUCAGUGAUGAGUGUUGGCAUGUAUUAUCUGAUCUGGAGUUGAUGUCUCUCACCACUCUGGCUCUAGAAUUACUCUGAGGCCCG